GAUGAAGAACGCAGCGAAAUGCGAUAACUAAUGUGAAUUGCAGAAUUCCGUGAAUCAUCGAGUCUUUGAACGCACAUUGCGCCCCCUGGUAUUCCGGGGGGCAUGCCUGUCCGAGCGUCAUUACAACCCUCAAGCCCGGCUUGUGUAAUGGGCGGCCGUCUCUCCCCCCGGGGGGAGACGCCCCCGAAACUCAGUGGGGAUGUCGCGAUGCCGAAGCCUCAGCUAAUGGGUAAACCACAGCUGCAAUGGCCGCGGCCGGCGUCCGCCUUCCACGGUCCGUCCGCCUAGCGCGGGCGGCCUUCUCAAGGUUGACCUCGGAUCAGGUAGGGAUACCCGCUGAACUUAAGCAUAUCAAUAAGCGGAGGA
rnacentral:misc_RNA from 1 species